rnacentral:rRNA from 1 species
UACGUAGGGUGCAAGCGUUAAUCGGAAUUACUGGGCGUAAAGUGUGCGCAGGCGGCCGCUCAAGUCGAGUGUGAAAGCCCCGAGCUUAACUUGGGAAUUGCGCUCGAAACUACGUGGCUGGAGUGUGGCAGAGGAAGGUGGAAUUCCACGUGUAGCGGUGAAAUGCGUAGAGAUGUGGAGGAACACCAAUGGCGAAGGCAGCCUUCUGGGCCAACACUGACGCUCAUGCACGAAAGCGUGGGGAGCAAACAGG